rnacentral:rRNA from 1 species
UACGUAGGGUGCGAGCGUUAAUCGGAAUUACUGGGCGUAAAGUGUGCGCAGGCGGCCGCGCAAGUCGAGUGUGAAAUCCCCGAGCUUAACUUGGGAAUUGCGCUCGAAACUACGUGGCUGGAGUGUGGCAGAGGAAGGUGGAAUUCCACGUGUAGCGGUGAAAUGCGUAGAGAUGUGGAGGAACACCGAUGGCGAAGGCAGCCUUCUGGGCCAUAACUGACGCUGAGAAGCGAAAAGCAUGGGGAGCGAACAGG